UACAGGGGGUGCAAGCGUUGCUCGGAAUCACUGGGCGUAAAGCGUACGCAGGCGGACCGUUAAGUCGGGUGUGAAAUCCCGGGGCUCAACCCCGGAACUGCAUUCGAAACUGGCGGUCUUGAGUACGGGAGAGGUGAGUGGAAUUCCUGGUGUAGAGGUGAAAUUCGUAGAUAUCAGGAGGAACACCGGUGGCGAAAGCGGCUCACUGGCCCGAUACUGACGCUCAUGUACGAAAGCGUGGGGAGCAAACAGG
rnacentral:rRNA from 1 species